rnacentral:rRNA from 1 species
UACGUAGGGUGCGAGCGUUAAUCGGAAUUACUGGGCGUAAAGCGUGCGCAGGCGGUUUUGUAAGCCAGAUGUGAAAUCCCCGGGCUCAACCUGGGAAUGGCAUUUGGGACUGCAAGGCUGGAGUGCGGCAGAGGAGACUGGAAUUCCUGGUGUAGCAGUGAAAUGCGUAGAGAUGUGGAGGAACACCGAUGGCGAAGGCAGCCCCCUGGGCUGAGAUUGACGCUCAGGCACGAAAGCGUGGGGAGCAAACAGG